rnacentral:lncRNA from 1 species
UUAUUGCUCCAUCAUUGUUUUCAUACUUAUUUUCACCGGAACAUUUUAAACUUUUUUUGUCUAAAAAUAUUUUUAUAGUAAUCUCAUAUUAGAGUAAUUAUUUCAUUCUUGCCCUGGAGUAUUUCUUUUACUCUUACACUGGGUCUUGUGAUGGAGUAUUUAUCUUCUUACCGGGAAUAAUUCUUAUAGUCUUGCAUAAGAUUCCAUAUUCUUGCCCUGGAGCUUAUCUCUUAUGUUGUGUCAUUUUUAUAUAACAUUUUUGCAGUCAUAUUUUGGUAUCACGUUGUCGUAUUCGUUGGCGGUGGUGUCGUCAGCGUCGUCCGAAGACGGAUGGUUUCCAGAAAUAAUUUUAGUAUAAGUAAAUAGAAAUCAAAAAAUUUUUAACACAAUGUUUAUAACCACAAAAAGAAGCUUGAUUGGUUGAUUGAUUUUGGGGGUUAUGGUCCAUAAGGUUCGUUCAGGAAUUAGGAGCAUUUAUCUAGUGUCAAUACAAAAAGUUGUGUAUAAGUAUUUCAAUUGUUCUGCAAUUGUACCACAAUGUUUAAUACCAUAAGUAGAAGGUUGUGAUAUAUUUUGUGGGUUAUGGGGCAAACAGUCUAGGAAUAAAGGGGCCAAAAACAAGCAUUUUUGUAGUUUAAGACAAUAAAUUGGAGUUAUCUUUCUUUGUCCUACAACCAACGCUUUAUGAGUAUAGUUAUUGUUGCAAACUCCAUUAGAAAUUUGAAUUGAGAUCAUUUUUGGAAUAAGGGAAAGGGAGAGGUGAAAUAAAAAUUGGGGGGGAGGGGGGUUCAAUUUUUCUCAUUUCAGAUUUCAGAAAAUAAAAAGAAAAUUUCUUCAAAUCUUUUUUUUUUUUUUAUGAGAGGAUUAAUAUUCAACAGCAUAGUGAAUUGCUCAAAAGCAAAAAUAGAAAUUUUAAGUUCAUUAGACCACAUUCAUUCUGUGUCAGAAACCUAUGCUGUGUCAACUAUUUAAUCAAUCCAAAUUCAGAGCUGUAUCCAGCUUAAAUGUUGUGUCCAUACUAGCUGCAACUGUUCAGGGUUUGACCUCUGCAGUCGUAUAAAGCUGCGCCCUGCGGAGCAUCUGGUUAUCAUAUAAUGGAGUAUCUAUUGCUGAUUUUUUAAAUCAUAUGUUACCAUCUUGUUGUGAAUACUCUCUCAAUUAUUGGUAUGUGUUAAGUGUUCAAUCCAAUAUUUUUGUCAAAAUAUAUGCUGAUUAAAUGUUGGUGCUACAUCUUUGUAUAAGUUUUCCAUGAAGUGAAUUAAAAUAAUUUAUAUUUUUCUAUUCACAAAAAAUGAGAUAUUUUUUGUCUCGCAUGCAGUAUUGCUGUAGAUUUUCUAGACUGUAUCUCUUUGUGUUCUAUUCUCUGUUUUUA